UACGUAGGGUGCAAGCGUUAAUCGGAAUUACUGGGCGUAAAGCGUGCGCAGGCGGUUGUGCAAGACCGAUGUGAAAUCCCCGGGCUUAACCUGGGAAUGGCAUUGGUGACUGCACGGCUAGAGUGUGUCAGGAGGGGGGGUAGAAUUCCACGUGUAGCAGUGAAAAUGCGUAGAGAUGUGGAGGAAUACCGAUGGCGAAGGCAGCCCCCUGGGAUAACACUGACGCUCAUGCACGAAAAGCGUGGGGGAGCAAAAC
rnacentral:rRNA from 1 species